rnacentral:rRNA from 1 species
GGAAUCUUGGACAAUGGGCGAAAGCCUGAUCCAGCCAUGCCGCGUGAGUGAAGAAGGCCUUAGGGUUGUAAAACUCUUUUAGCGGGGAAGAUAAUGACGGUAACCGGAGAAGAAGCCCCGGCUAACUUCGUGCCAGCAGCCGCGGUAAUACGAAGGGGGCUAGCGUUGUUCGGAAUUACUGGGCGUAAAGCGCACGUAGGCGGAUAUUUAAGGCAGGGGUGAAAUCCCGCAGCUCAACUGCGGAACUGCCUUUGAUACUGGAUAUCUUGAGUAUGGAAGAGGUGAGUGGAAUUCCGAGUGUAGAGGUGAAAUUCGUAGAUAUUCGGAGGAACACCAGUGGCGAAGGCGGCUCACUGGUCCAUAACUGACGCUGAGGUGCGAAAGCGUGGGGAGCAAAC